rnacentral:rRNA from 1 species
GUCGACGUACGUCUACGAGAGUUAGUUAGACUCGUGGCUCAGGACGAACGCUGGCGGCGUGCCUAACACAUGCAAGUCGAACGGAGUCAAGAAGCUUGCUUUUGACUAGUGGCGACGGGUGAGUAACGCGUGAGUAACCUGCCUCUGAGAGGGGAAUAACGUUCUGAAAAGAACGCUAAUACCGCAUAACGUAUCGAAGCCGCAUGACUUUGAUACCAAAGAUUUUAUCGCUCGGAGAUGGACUCGCGUCCGAUUAGUUAGUUGGUGAGGCAACGGCUCACCAAGACCGCGAUCGGUAGCCGGACUGAGAGGUUGAUCGGCCACAUUGGGACUGAGACACGGCCCAGACUCCUACGGGAGGCAGCAGUGGGGGAUAUUGCGCAAUGGGGGCAACCCUGACGCAGCAACGCCGCGUGAAGGAUGAAGGUUUUCGGAUUGUAAACUUCUUUUAUCAGGGACGAAGCUUGACGGUACCUGAUGAAUAAGCUCCGGCUAACUACGUGCCAGCCGCUGC